GUCUACAGCCAUAACACUCUGAACACAUCUGAUCUCAAAAGCUAAGCAGAGUCAGGCCUGGUUAGUACUUGGCUGUGAGACCACAUGGGAAUACUGAGUACUGUAGGCU
rnacentral:rRNA from 1 species